rnacentral:rRNA from 1 species
UACGGAGGGUGCAAGCGUUGUCCGGAAUCACUGGGCGUAAAGGGCGCGUAGGCGGCUCAUGAAGGCUGUGGUGAAAGUCCGGGGCUCAACCUCGGAUCGGCCGUGGCGACUCGUGGGCUGGAGCACUGUAGAGGCGGGUGGAAUUCCUGGUGUAGCGGUGGAAUGCGUAGAGAUCCGGAAGAACACCGGUGGCGAAGGCGGUCUGCUGGGCAGUUGCUGACACUGAGGCGCGACAGCGUGGGGAGCAAACAGG